GGAGGAAUAUAAGUUUCAACUUCCAUUGAGUUUAUAGGGGUGGAUUUCAUCGCACCAGUUAUAAUGCGCAGUGCUUGAUUUUGAAUGAUAUCUAACUUUUUUAGAAGACUAGCGCUAGCAUUAAUAUAUGCUAAGCAACUAUAGUCAAAGUGGCUCCUAACUAAACUUUUAUACAACAUUGAGAGAAUUUUUGGAUCAGCACCCCAAAAAACUCCUGCUAAACAUCUCAAUAUAUUGAGUCGCUUAAUGGGCAAAACACACUGAGUUUUCCACUCGUCGGGAAUAACUUGUUUGGACCAUAGGUGAUUGUAGAUAUUAAGAAGAACUGCUUGUGCAUUUUUGUGUGGACUGUAAAUGCAAAGGAUUGUAAUGGAACCUAUACCUG